GAAUUUGCCUUCGAAUAAAUAGUGUGAUAUGAUGGAUCGUUGUCUUGUGAUAACUAUGGUGAUAAACGUCGUGAUAAAUAGAUGAUGUGGACCCGGGGGCAGAGCCCGGCACCUCCACCGGAUGCAUUUUUGGGGGUGUAUAGAUUCGACGCGCAUUGAAAAACUCGGCUUUCAUUCGUGGUGGUUUACGUUAUAGAACUAAUAUACUAAAUGCGAUUUUAAACCGUCGCUUUGAAGUAUUGGGAGACGACGAGGAGUCCUCUGAUGGAUUCGUCGCCGCCAACGACAAUGCCCCUGUAAAAGAGGCCAUUGCCGCUUGAUGCUUCGCGGUCUGGGAGAGCCGGGCAACAGAAUUCUCCCGCU
rnacentral:tmRNA from 1 species